UAACGCUGAGGUGUGAUGACGAGGCACUACGGUGCUGAAGUAACAAAUGCCCUGCUUCCAGGAAAAGCCUCUAAGCAUCAGGUAACACAAAAUCGUACCCCAAACCGACACAGGUGGUCAGGUAGAGAAUACCAAGGCGCUUGAGAGAACUCGGGUGAAGGAACUAGGCAAAAUGGUGCCGUAACUUCGGGAGAAGGCACGCUGAUAUGUAGGUGAAGUGAUUUACUCAUGGAGCUGAAAUCAGUCGAAGAUACCAGCUGGCUGCAACUGUUUAUUAAAAACACAGCACUGUGCAAACACGAAAGUGGACGUAUACGGUGUGACGCCUGCCCGGUGCCGGAAGGUUAAUUGAUGGGGUUAUCCGUAAGGAGAAGCUCUUGAUCGAAGCCCCGGUAAACGGCGGCCGUAACUAUAACGGUCCUAAGGUAGCGAAAUUCCUUGUCGGGUAAGUUCCGACCUGCACGAAUGGCGUAAUGAUGGCCAGGCUGUCUCCACCCGAGACUCAGUGAAAUUGAACUCGCUGUGAAGAUGCAGUGUACCCGCGGCAAGACGGAAAGACCCCGUGAACCUUUACUAUAGCUUGACACUGAACACUGGUCCUUGAUGUGUAGGAUAGGUGGGAGGCUUUGAAGUGUGGACGCCAGUCUGCAUGGAGCCAACCUUGAAAUACCACCCUUUAAUGGCUGGUGUUCUAACGUAGACCCGUAAUCCGGGUUGCGGACAGUGUCUGGUGGGUAGUUUGACUGGGGCGGUCUCCUCCUAAAGAGUAACGGAGGAGCACGAAGGUUAGCUAAUCCUGGUCGGACAUCAGGAGGUUAGUGCAAAGGCAUAAGCUAGCUUGACUGCGAGAGUGACGGCUCGAGCAGGUGCGAAAGCAGGUCUUAGUGAUCCGGUGGUUCUGAAUGGAAGGGCCAUCGCUCAACGGAUAAAAGGUACUCCGGGGAUAACAGGCUGAUACCGCCCAAGAGUUCAUAUCGACGGCGGUGUUUGGCACCUCGAUGUCGGCUCAUCACAUCCUGGGGCUGAAGUAGGUCCCAAGGGUAUGGCUGUUCGCCAUUUAAAGUGGUACGCGAGCUGGGUUUAGAACGUCGUGAGACAGUUCGGUCCCUAUCUGCCGUGGGCGCUGGAGAAUUGAGGGGGGCUGCUCCUAGUACGAGAGGACCGGAGUGGACGCAUCACUGGUGUUCGGGUUGUCAUGCCAAUGGCAUUGCCCGGUAGCUAAAUGCGGAAGAGAUAAGUGCUGAAAGCAUCUAAGCACGAAACUUGCCCCGAGAUGAGUUCUCCCUGACCCUUUAAGGGUCCUGAAGGAACGUUGAAGACGACGACGUUGAUAGGUCGGGUGUGUAAGCGUAGCGAUACGUUGAGCUAACCGAUACUAAUGAACCGUGAGGCUUAACCUUACAACGCCGAAG
rnacentral:rRNA from 1 species